rnacentral:pre_miRNA from 1 species
GGCGUCUCUUUGGGUACUUGAGGAGAGGUUGUCUGUGAUGAGUUCGCUUUAUUAAUGCCGAAUAUAACACAGAUGGCCUGUUUUCGGUACCCCC